CUUCCAGUGGCGUGACAGCUGAAUGUGAGCCCAACCCUGCUGGAGUCCUGGAUACACAGCCGCUAGCUCGGUGGUAGCUUAGCUUGUUUGUUAGCUUUGCCGAAAACGCACACUACAUUUUGACAAUCUGAACGCAGUGCAUUUAAUUUAAAAUAGCAAUGUCUACAAUACAGUGUGAUUCAUAACUUCAGUAUGACUCUUACCAUAGUGCAUUUACAGCAGUAUCGUUCCUGUAAUCAGGUGGAGAGACAGUGUACCAGGGGAAACUGUUGAACUGCUCCGGACACCCUUGCGUCUCUGUUGUUCUUCUCCCGCCCCCCAGCCAAUCAGUAACCAAGGAACUUGACGUUGCCUCAUGACUGACGAAUAAGAGGCAUAGCGCGCCUGGUUGUCCUCUUGCCUGACGGAGCCUGGGUCAUGUCACUUUUCCCGGUGCCCUUCACUUCCGCCUUCGCUUGGUUGCAGGUAGGCUGCCGGCGGCGACUAUAGUCUGGUCUCACGCUGUCCCUCCAGUUGUGUUCAUGGUGGUUAUUUUAUAUCAGCGGCUCGCUUGGAUGUUGCAGCUGGUUGUGUGCUGCUUACUCUCUGCUGCUGGUUGCUGUGUAGCUGAUCACGUUGCCCCAGACCAUGCUGACCGUGAUUGCCUGACCGGUAUGUAGCACAGUGACUGUAGCUUCCUCCUCCAGCCACUCCUAAGUUGCUAAUAUCUGUUCUUUUAUUGUAGGGUAAAGACACAUGUGUAAAGGCAUAGCAACCGCUAAUCUGCAAGAAAUCGCUGUUGCUUUGCUUUGCUUCGCUUCGCUGCUUUGCUUUGCCUCACCGCUAGCUGCGUGCUUGCUGCUCAAUGCUAGCUGCUUUGCUUUAAGUGGCGAUUGCUUUGACUCAUUGCUCGGCCUCACACUGCGCUGACACAAACUUUUAAUUGCACCCGCGGUUGCAGUGCCUCAACGCUGUCUGCCUAGUUCCUGGCUGCUCACCACAGCUGGUUAAGAGUGUUAGCCUUCGUCCAGGCUUUGUUUAAGCGUUGCCGUGGCCUGAUCGUUGCUUGGCAGUGCCAUCCUGAACUGUGUACUGUCAACCCUGUCACUUGUUGUUUUGUGUGUGUGUGUGUGUAUAUGAGAGAGUACAGUGGGAGAGUUUAUCCCAUUUUCUUUGUGAUUAGUAGUUUAUGACAUUUUCUUUCUUUUGUAACAGUUGGUUUUACUGCAAUCUGUAUUCUGAUUUGUUAGCUUCGUGAUUAUUUUGGUCUUUGCAGGUUGCAGGUGUAUUUCGUUUGAUGUAAAUCUUAAUUCUAUUUGAUAUUGUGUUAAUUCUUAGGGAUGUGAUAAACUAAGUCCUGAUUUCUUGUGUUUGUCAUUAGUUGCAUUUAAUGUUUGUGUGCUCACCUGCUGUCCUCUGAUUUUCCCCAUUCAGGUGCUGAGCCUAGGAUGGUGGAUUGUUGUUGUGGUGGCGGUGUCCGUCUUGUCUUUGGCACUUUUUUUUUUUUUCUUUUAGGUUGCUUUUGGUUUCACUUUUAUUUACUUCACGUAUGGUGUUCCUGGGAUCCCCUUUGUUUUGGACCCAUCUCCCCCCUACUAAGUCUCAGCCCUGAUUGGUCCCCCUUUUUGUCCCAGCUAGCACCAGCUUCAAAAAGGUUUAUGAUAGCCGUGACAUUUUUUAAAGACAGACAGACAGACAGACACACACACACACACACACACACUCUUCAGUUAGGAUUGUCUAAAGCUUAAGUGAAUAAAUGCGAAACUUCUUACCAGAAACUCUUGAUGAGUUUUUGUACAUCUUGAGGCACUUCAGCAGACACUCUCUCCUUACGCUUACAUCAAGGCUUUAGGUAAGUGCAAACAUGAACAAAACAAUGCAAAAUCAUGCUGUCGAACUGUGCAACUUGACUGAAGAUGCAAACACAAAAAUGCAUCAGUGGGAACGUAGACAGUAAUUGUCCAGUAAUCAGACAAAUGGUUUGAGUAAACAGCAAGAUACACAUUGUACUUCUUUCAAAAUGUAAUCUAACUCCACAAUCAAAUGUGAAGACAAUGACACAUUAACACUACUGCUUCUAUUGACAACAUUACUAUUUAUGUGAUGUAAGGUGAAUUUUGCAGUAUUAAGUACAUACCUGAUAAAGAACUUUCAGCACAUCCCAGAUCUCCUCUCUGACAGCUCCUCCCUUGUUCCUGAUGAUCUCAAUCAGCUUGCUGUGGUGCUUGUCCAAGGAGGCCAGGAAUCGUGGUUGAAGUGGAACAGUAGUAAUCCUCACGAAUUCAGCAUUGAUCUUUAGAAAAUAAUAUAUCACAUAUGUAAGUUAUGACAUUGCAUUAAACUCUGUGGUGUAAGA